GAUGAACGCUGGCGGCGUGCCUAAUACAUGCAAGUCGAGCGAACGGACGAGAAGCUUGCUUCUCUGAUGUUAGCGGCGGACGGGUGAGUAACACGUGGAUAACCUACCUAUAAGACUGGGAUAACUUCGGGAAACCGUAGCUAAUACCGGAUAAUAUUUUGAACCGCAUGGUUCAAAAGUGAAAGACGGUCUUGCUGUCACUUAUAGAUGGAUCCGCGCUGCAUUAGCUAGUUGGUAAGGUAACGGCUUACCAAGGCAACGAUGCAUAGCCGACCUGAGAGGGUGAUCGGCCACACUGGAACUGAGACACGGUCCAGACUCCUACGGGAGGCAGCAGUAGGGAAUCUUCCGCAAUGGGCGAAAGCCUGACGGAGCAACGCCGCGUGAGUGAUGAAGGUCUUCGGAUCGUAAAACUCUGUUAUUAGGGAAGAACAUAUGUGUAAGUAACUGUGCACAUCUUGACGGUACCUAAUCAGAAAGCCACGGCUAACUACGUGCCAGCAGCCGCGGUAAUACGUAGGUGGCAAGCGUUAUCCGGAAUUAUUGGGCGUAAAGCGCGCGUAGGCGGUUUUUUAAGUCUGAUGUGAAAGCCCACGGCUCAACCGUGGAGGGUCAUUGGAAACUGGAAAACUUGAGUGCAGAAGAGGAAAGUGGAAUUCCAUGUGUAGCGGUGAAAUGCGCAGAGAUAUGGAGGAACACCAGUGGCGAAGGCGACUUUCUGGUCUGUAACUGACGCUGAUGUGCGAAAGCGUGGGGAUCAAACAGGAUUAGAUACCCUGGUAGUCCACGCCGUAAACGAUGAGUGCUAAGUGUUAGGGGGUUUCCGCCCCUUAGUGCUGCAGCUAACGCAUUAAGCACUCCGCCUGGGGAGUACGACCGCAAGGUUGAAACUCAAAGGAAUUGACGGGGACCCGCACAAGCGGUGGAGCAUGUGGUUUAAUUCGAAGCAACGCGAAGAACCUUACCAAAUCUUGACAUCCUUUGACAACUCUAGAGAUAGAGCCUUCCCCUUCGGGGGACAAAGUGACAGGUGGUGCAUGGUUGUCGUCAGCUCGCGUCGUGAGAUGUUGGGUUAAGUCCCGCAACGAGCGCAACCCUUAAGCUUAGUUGCCAUCAUUAAGUUGGGCACUCUAAGUUGACUGCCGGUGACAAACCGGAGGAAGGUGGGGAUGACGUCAAAUCAUCAUGCCCCUUAUGAUUUGGGCUACACACGUGCUACAAUGGACAAUACAAAGGGCAGCGAAACCGCGAGGUCAAGCAAAUCCCAUAAAGUUGUUCUCAGUUCGGAUUGUAGUCUGCAACUCGACUACAUGAAGCUGGAAUCGCUAGUAAUCGUAGAUCAGCAUGCUACGGUGAAUACGUUCCCGGGUCU
rnacentral:rRNA from 1 species